UACGUAGGGGGCAAGCGUUGUCCGGAUUUAUUGGGCGUAAAGAGCGUGUAGGCGGUUUGGUAGGUCCGUUGUGAAAACUCGAGGCUCAACCUCGAGACGCCGAUGGAAACCAUCAGACUAGAGUCCGGAAGAGGAGAGUGGAAUUCCUGGCGUAGCGGUGAAAUGCGCAGAUAUCAGGAAGAACACCCGUGGCUAAGGCGGCUCUCUAGUACGGUACUGACGCUGAGACGCGAAAGCGUAGGGAGCGAACAGG
rnacentral:rRNA from 1 species